CUCAUUGACCAGGCUCGCUCUUUCCACUCUCCACGGCCUCGCGCGCGUUCUCAGCCCGACUAGUCGCACAGCGAGCGGACUAGUACUAUACGGUGCCUUCGAGACGGACAGUCCGUCUAGUGCGUCGUUCUGCUUCUCGUCCCCUCGUAGAUUCUCUCUGCCUCUGCUGCAACGCUGCGCUAGAGCAGAUACACGCAGGCGUCUCAGCGAUUCACGCUCGCACAGAAAGCCAGUCGAGUCGCAGUCGCUGCAGCAACGGCUGACGUGAUAUUUCGCGCGUCGAGUCGUUCGAAAAGCGCCGAGUCUCGGAGAGGGGAGCCAGCAGAAGAGUGAGCAAGAGAGAAACCGGCGGCAACUCCCUGCUGCGGACAAGUUAAAGCCGAGUGAGAGACGGCUCACGGAAGCGAGAGAGCGAGCGAGACGAAAAGCUGCAACUGUUCUUCGGCUCCUCGAGGUUCCCCACUGCUGCGUCGUCCGCUGCUGGUCGCUGGGAAUCAACGACAAGCUCUCACACGCGCAGCUGCGACCGAGUGCCUCGUCCGGCAGCACCGCCAGCACGCUCUCGCUGUUGAGGCGCAAGGCCGCGAGGCUCAGGGCGGCCCCCGCCGGCAGCGGCAGCAGCGCCGAGGAGAAGAGCGCGGGCCAGGAUCAGCGGGACGAGCGGCGUGAUCGUCGUCGCGAUUGGCGGGACCGGCGGAGUUGGCGCCGCUCGGAGCUACGCAGGCGUCGCGAGGCUGCCGCCGCCGCCACAGCCGCUGCUACGCUGAUGCCCGCAGGUAUAGGCGCUUCGUACAGGUCGCUCGGGGACCUGGGCGAGGACGUCUACAAGAGCACGACCAUCGUCGAGCAGACUCAGACCACCGGGCAGAGCAUGCUCGAGUCCGUGAAGAAGGCGUUCAGCUUCGCGGCGCCUAAGGUCGAGCUCGUCAUUCGGAAGAAGGACCCGCUGAUCGAGGACAGGCGCGAGAGCGUCUCUAUCGUCUCCAGGCACGAGUGCCCGGAGUUUCUAGGGCCGGAAUCUGGGGGCCACGGGGAGGGGUAUUAUCGAUCUCUCUCGCAUAGCUCAGAGCAGCUACAGGACGAAAAGCAGGCCGACUCCGAUGCUGGCGUGCCAAGGGAAAGAAACAAGAUGCCGACCGCAGCCACUGCCGAGGAGUCAGCUCUGUUGGGCGCGAUGCCGUCGGACAGUAUGGAUGACAUCGAGCUCAAGAACAUUCAGCUGCAAUUCCCGGCGCUGAGGUACCUGACGAGGGAUGACGGCUCGGUGCGGGAGGAGCGCGUCGAGACCGACAAGGGUUCGCUGGUCGUCGCCAUCCAGGGAAAUCGAGCGAAGCCUGCCAUUCUCACGUAUCACGAUCUAGGCCUUAACUAUAUCUCGAGCUUCCAGGCAUUCUUCAACUACAUCGACAUGCGCGUUCUCCUCGACAACUUCUGCGUAUAUCACGUGAACGCUCCAGGCCAGGAAGAAGGCGCCCCGACACUAGCCGAGGACUACGUGUACCCGACCAUGGACGAGUUAGCGGAACAAUUGCUGUUCGUUGCCGGCCACUUCGGGCUGCGAUCCGUGAUUGGAUUUGGUGUCGGCGCGGGCGCCAAUAUUCUCGCUCGCUUCGCCCUGGCGCAUCCCGAAAAGGUGAACGCCCUCUGUCUCAUCAAUUGCGUGUCCACGCAAGCAGGCUGGAUCGAAUGGGGCUACCAAAAGCUCAACUGCCGUCACCUGCGCUCCCAGGGCAUGACCCAGGGCGUCCUCGAUUACCUCAUGUGGCAUCAUUUCGGCAGGGGUACCGAGGAGCGAAACCACGAUCUAGUACAGGUGUACAAGAACUACUUUGAGCGUCGCGUCAACCCGACAAAUCUCGCUCUCUUCAUCGACAGCUACGUCCGUCGCACGGAUUUGAACAUCAACCGUGAUCUCGACCCCACACGGAAGAGGGAUGGCACGACUCUCUUGGUACCUGUGAUGAACAUCACCGGCUCGCUGAGUCCUCACGUCGACGAUACCGUUACGCUAAAUGGACGUCUUGAUCCCACCAACAGCUCGUGGAUGAAGAUCUCAGACUGCGGAAUGGUGCUCGAAGAACAACCAGGCAAAGUAAGCGAAGCCUUUCGACUGUUCCUCCAGGGUGAAGGCUAUGUGUGGUGAGAUCCCCGGGAAAGCCCACGACGCCUACAACACCCGAAGGUAAUUGUAAUUAGGAAUUGAGGCCGCAAAGGAGUCGAACGCGCUGUGUCGGUCAAUUAGGCCACGUCUAAGCGUUAAUUGCGCCGCUCUCGCCGUUGAAGAUGGCCGACUACAGGCUUGCUUCACUCGAGGGGCUGAAUCACAUCUGCAGCAAGAAGAUGGAUUGGCCUACUGCGACCAUACACAUCACCGAGAAUCCCUUGCCCGAGGCCGUCGUCUGUUAAGUACAUGAAAAACGCGUGCCCUUCCUUUAUCAAUUUUUUCCGGAGAAGAAAGAGAGCAAUAUAGAAAUGUUCGUCGCUCCUGCAUUUGUAGUCCCGCAAAUGAAUUAGGACAUAGAUCUCGUUGUCCCGUAAGGGAUGAGGAUGGUAACAACUCUCGAGGAGACGGCAACAAGCUUUCGGACGAUCGUUAAAAUUAAAUGAUGGAUCACCCAAAUUGAUUGCUGAACUUUGGGCAUUCUCUAAUCAGAAUAAAUCUAUUGAAAUUUCCACGCAGAAAUAAAUUGUACAAGCAGGGUAUUCGGUACACUAUUUCAAGCAGAAAUUUCAGCAGAUUUACAUUUUAUACGAUGUUUUUUGGAUAAAGGCAUUUGAUCGAUCCUAUUUUUUUUUUCUUUUGUUUUGUUUAAGCUUUUUACCGACUGCGCAUUUACGAGAAUAAUGUCUCGGAAUCCGAUCCUGCCUCGAAUAAUACUUUAAUCCAGUAUUUUAUUUUUGGAAAUUCAAGUUGCGAAUCGACGAUCGUCCACUUUUGAGUAAAAUAUCAUUCGAAUUUCGAUCUGUACAAUCUGAAACAAAAAUGAAAUGCAAAAGAAACUAAGGAAAUCCAAACGUGGAUCACCGAAGAAAUAACUAUUAAGAUAAAAGAAAUACGAAAAUCUUUGAACGAAAUCCAAUAACACAGCAACGAAUGAGCGAUGACCAGCAUAGCUCUCUCUCAUUAAUCGUAGACGAGAAACGCUCACAAGCUACUGCUUUUCGUGUUCAUCAAAUUGCAUUAUUAAAGUACCUCUCAUCCGCAGCAUCACGGUCUCCGCUCGAUUAUACGGAAUUGCAUAUAGUGUUAACCUUUGACAAUUUUUCAACUGCUGUUUGUACGAAAAGAAUGUUUUUAAAUUUAUAUGUACACGGAUGACACAAGCUUUUAAUUUUAAUUUAGUGAGAUUUUAUGAUUAUUAAAGUGUGCUCUGGCAGUACCGACAUCGAUUACUAUAACUAAAUAACGAUAAAAGUGACUUUUCAAUUAUUGCAAAUUUUACUAUUUUUAAUCGUAAAGCAGAUUUGUGCAAAACGAAACACAUUACAACUUUUAUCAUUCGUAACAUAUUGUUGUUACUAGAAUAACAUAUAUAUAAUGCGCUAGACAUUGUAAGAAGUAAUCUGCUGUGCGUUGUCAUUUUGCUACGUGUGUGACCUGUAUAAACAAUAAUAUACAAUAUCUACCAGUAAUUAACACAUAUAUAUAUAUAAAGUUACUGCAUUGAUUCAAGCUAAAAUAUAAUCUUUCACACAAAUGUAAUAAGAAUAGCGUUAUCAAACGUUCAUCUAAAUGAAUGUCCAGAGUGCAGAAAAGGUAGUAUAUAAGCGUUUCGUUUUGUUCACAUCUUUAACCAAUAUUAUACAUUUUUUACAGACAGCAGGAGAAAAAUUUGGGCUUGACCCGUAUUUUCCAGUAACACAUAUACGCUCUAUUUAUACACAAACCUCUAUAAUAUAAACGCAGUCCACGACUUUCUCAUAUCCAGUCUGAGAGUUACACAAGUACGAUUCAUCCCAUUAAUAAUAUUAACAAAUACAAAUUAUUAUUUCUCUUAUGUUACUGUUAUAAAUAGGCGUAAAUAAAACUUUGCAUCAUUCGUAUAAGUCGUAUAAAAAUAUAAGAUCAAAUUUGUUUGAAACUGAGUAAACUUAGUAAUAAACAUACUCGUACCGUAUGGAUAUAGCGGGUCAAUCUUGGCCAUUCUUAAAUUCUAUAUAGAUCAGACCUGAGCACAUAUAGUCAAAUAUCAUUAUAUGUAAGCAAGUCUUUAUACAUAUAAUUGAAUAUCAUGAUAAUAUCACUUAUAAUACUGCCCAAAUAUACUAUAUGCCAGAAGUCACCAUUUAGAAUUACGAUACUUUUUAAAUUAUCAUACGUUUAAACAAUAUUUUUACUUAUUUAUCAAAUACUGAAAUUUUUCAUAUUAAAAACUUUAAAGUACAAGACAAAAGAUUUCUGGACAGUCGCGCUAAUGAUCAACUGGCUUUUUUGUGCGGAGAAGUCGUGGACACUCCGAGUGUGAAAUGACGAAAAAAAACUACAAGUUAUGCUGUGGAAAUAAUCAAUAGAAGCUUAAUGCGUUUAUUAGAAAGCAAAUAAAAAGCGACGCUGGCCUAUACACAACUGGAAAGAAAGCAGGAUACCAAGUCCGAAAGCGCCUAUAAAACAUAGAGAAAAAUGCUGCUUUGUCGAAGGAAUGCUUUUUCGCAGGGCAUGCAAAGAGAAGUAGAUUUACACGUAAAUACGUACGAAUGAGACUUUACAGGGAUAAAAUAUAACGGCGAUGAGUCGAGCGUUAUAUGUGCUAUAGAACGAAAGUGCCGCGUUUAGCAAAGAGCUGAUCGUUUAUUAUGUAAUAUUAGGUAUUGACUAUAAUUAUAGGCGUAUUGUUAUUAUUAUCAAAUUUUUAUCUUCAACUGCGCUGUGGUCGCAUAUGGAAUUGGCGCCGUUUUUUAAUCGAUUUUUUCACCUCAAAGAUAAUUGGCUAAUUUUGCGCAUUCUAAAGUAUAGGCAAACAAAAAAGGUGUAUGAAUAUUUAAAGCUAGCAAGAGAAAAACUAGAAAGUUGUAAGGUCUACGAAAAAAAAAGAAAUUAUACAGAUUAUUAGUCAGGCGUACGUGCGUAAAGAGAAAUGCAAUAAGUUAGUGAAAAUAGAGUAAGGGGAUUUUCGCGAUGGUUUCGCAACAUAUUAGCGCAUACACAAACACUAAAUCAAAUCAUCUGUGAAACCCUAUAACUUUUGUUUCUCGAAAAUAACAGCAGAUAAAGGAGGCAGAGACACAAGUUUAGAUAAUGAGUCGAGGUAUGUCUAUAUUUAGUAAGCAAUGGGUUUAGCUAGGCAAAUAUUCAAAUUAAAGAUAUUUAAAUAAAUACAGAAAAGUUAAUAAAAAAAUAUAAAAAUUAAAAAGCAAAGUUAAGCGUGUGGGUAAAAUCUUAUAAUAUUUGAGUGCAAUUCGCGUGGUUUUACCGCGUGAACAGCGUUUUGCAAGCCUCUAGCAAGUGAUAUAUAUGUAUAUGACUAUUGAUUAUACUAAAACAGAAAACGUGCCUGCUACACAAGACAGAAGGAAAUUUUAGAAGGAAUCGUUCUUGAGAGUAAAACACUACUAAACACUAUACUAUGCGUCGCCUUUUUAUUUUCUAUAACAAUCCGUGGAUUCUUCCGACGGCGCAAAGAAUGCGACACACAUCCAUACACGCGUUGGCACACACGCAUGCAAACAUGCAGACAUUAUUAUGCUCAUAGAUUUUCGCUUUCUUAAAAUGUAUAAGCUUUUAUUAAGAUAAACUGUUGAAUAAUUUUGUAUAACUAUUUAUAAAUAUGAUUUAGUAAUCACAUCUUCAUUGUAGUACUUAAGUUUUAUCAGUUAAUGAUUAUGUGCAAAGACGGCUCAAGAAUACUGUACCUGUUGUAUUUUUCAUUUCUUAACAGUUUAUUUUUAAUUAGCUAUGGAGGAUUGAGAAUAUCAACAUCUAUAGUAGUAUAAUAAGCGGAAUUAUGAAAGGUAAAUGUUCACGAAAGUCGCAAAACAACACAGAAGUAUAUUAAGGACUUAUAAGUAUUUCGCGAGGCGUUUGCAGUAAAAUUAUAAAGUUUCUAAAUUAAGGCAACAAGAUAAAAAGUAAAGUAAAAUAUAUUUAUAAUAUAUUUCUUUAGGAAGCGCAUGAAGGGCCAAGUAACAUAAUUGAGAGGUUAUUCUAGAAUAAAUAUUAAAAGUAAAGUAAUUAUGUAUUGUUCACGUACAGCUUGACAAAUAUAUUCUAAAAAGAUCUUUAUUUUAACGUAAAAAAUCUGUAGAUCUGUGACUGUAGCUUCUGGAGCCUUGUAAUUUAAAAGAAAUUAAAGAUGUGUUUUUAUAUGUAUAUGUUAACAAGAAUAGAUGUAUAUGUAAGAUAAGGUCUAAAAAUUAUUUGAUGUGUAUUAUAUUAAGUUUCUCUUUCGUUCAAUAUUGUGAAAGUCAAGAAAAAAAGUCAUAACAAAAUUUUCUUCUUUUAAAUAUCAGGAAUUAGAAAUAUUAAACUUGUCAGCCAAUCGAUUCUAAACUUCUUUAUACAAAUGAGAAGGAAUUGAAGCGAAUCAACUACAAAAUCACUUGCUUAUACAUAUAAAAAUUAAAUUGUUUAAAACUAUAUUUUCUGUUUACAAAAUCACUGUGCAAGAAAAAAUAAUAUAAUAACAAACAAGGCACAUUAAAUUAAUUAUAUAACUGAAUUGAAGAGUGUGAUAAAAUGCAACAAACUUUUAAGUGUUAACAAUUACCUCGUUUAAAAUUUUGAGCAUUCUAUACGAUACCUAUGUUGCUUACCCAGAAUAACAAAAGUAAUUUCAUUUAAUUGAAUUAAAUAUAGAUCAAACAGAAGUUGAUCGUUGUCAUCUUUAGAGAACAAGUUUUAAUUUUAAGAGCAGCAUUUUUUCUAAGUUAAAGUAAAUUCAUGACCUAUCUCUCUUUAAUUUAAGAGACUUCCACUCUCAUAUUUUGCUAUUGACUGCACGCACCGAUACUCAUUUAUAACUACAUAUAACAAAAGCUGUAACAAAAAAAAAAGAAAAUAAAACAAAAUAUAUGGGCAGCCACAGCGUUAUUACUACCAAACAAAACAUACGUGUAUUCGAACUAUGUAUGCUAUUUGAAUGAUCAUCAGCGAGUAUGUAAAUGCAAUACAACUCAAAUACACAAGUAAAUUCACACCUAUAAAUGGAGCUUCAAAGAAUACUAUACAAUAAAUGAACACGUGCACACCGAGAUAAUACAUCUUGUUAUUUAUAAUAAACUAACGUGGAAAAAUGCAAA